UGCACAGCUUAAAAAUCAUUUAUAAAGAUAAGAUGAAAUAAAGUGCUAAAACACUCUUCCCAGUCUCUAACUUCAUUUUGAAAUGAAUCAUCUGAUCAAACAGCUGGUGAAACCCACAGCCAAAUGACUGAACAACAAAAUUAAAAUUUUCCAAAUCCAAUGGUUGGCGACUAGUGCUCACAGCAGCUCCAGCAUUCUUACAUUUUAACCUUUCCCCCUACAAAAUAUUGCAGUGCAAUAAAAUUGUCUGGAGCCAACUAUUGGAUUAGCAACUAUUUCCAUAUGCUAUUACUAAAUAACCUAAAAGAAUUGUCACACAUUCAUGUACAACAAGAUAUCAUUCAAGAUUUUUCCUUCCACCGGAUAAAACAAAGCGGAGAAACAAAACCCUAAGAAUAGAGUACGUGCAAAAUUACAUGCUUAAUUAAUUAUGGCAGUUUAAGAUACAACUUGGUUAAACAGAUGGAAAAAAGUGAUUCACCAACACCAAACACACCUUUGAAUGCAUGCAGGUCCAUCAAGGAGCCAAAAGACUUCAAAGAUCACUUUAAAUAGACCUGUAUCAGUUGCUCCUUCCUUCAACAAGACCACCCAAACUAAGCACAAAGGCACCUGCAGCAAGCCGUCUCCCCCAAGAGAAUCCUCUAUCAGUUCAAGCCGAUAUUGGUUCAUAAGGGUAUGACAGCCAUGGAUGCUUUAGAGCCUCUGAUGCAGAAGGGCGCUUCUUUGGAUUUACUUCAAGCAAAUAAGCUACAAAAUCGAUGAAACCUUGAUCCCCCAUUGGCAAUCGGUGCCUUAAAGAUGUCUUUUUUGGUAUCAAGUAUUCCAGUCUAUUGGUGUCCUGAUUCCUCUCAUAAAGCAUGUGAUUUUUGGUAAAAUACUUGUAGGUGUCUCGUCCUUUAGCCAGCAUAACUUGAUUAAUAGGACCCAUGAUUCCAAUAACUCGUGCCAGUAACGUUGCUGGUGAAUCAUUUUGGAAGAGUACAUUUCCUGUGCAAAGUUCGGCCAAGAUGCAGCCAAGUGACCAGAUAUCUAUCUUUUUAUCAUAUGGAAGCCCCAAGAUGACUUCUGGUGCACGAUAGGAUCUGGAUUGAACAUAGGAGCACAGAUGAUCUGUCUCAAAACAGCUACUCCCAAGAUCAAUUACUUUCACCUCACAUCUACUAUAGCUUUUCACCAAUAUAUUCUCAGGCUUUAAAUCACAGUGUAUAAGGCCAAGCCCAUGCACAAACUGAAGUGCCUCCAAACACUGAAUGGUAAUAGACUGCAAUCUUGGCAUUGUAAAGUAAACCUCUCCUCCUGAUUCUCUAUUGAACUUAUGGAACUCGUACAAGUUUGCCUUGAGAAGUUCACAUACAAUUAACAAAUGCUCUCGGUAAUAGAAGUAAUCAUACAAUCUGAGAAUGUGGUACUUGUCAGCAGGAUCAUGCUUGUUGACAUACUUUAGAAGCUUUAUCUCGUCAAGACUCUGAUCAAAGAAGUCCUUGUUGUUUUUUAUAAUUUUAAUACAGACAUCAAUGCCUGUAUGGAGGUCAUGUGCUUGUAUAGCCUUACUGAAAGCAGCUGAUCCAAGAUACUCAGUAACAUGAUAACGCCCAGCUAUUACAGAAUUCAAAACAACAUGGAAGUUCUUGUCCUCUUCAAAGCCAGUUCUGAGCAACAGAAGGAAGAGUUCAGGUGAAGUCUGUUUUUUCUAUGCACAAUCUUGAGGUUAAAAGUCUCAAAUUCCUCCUCCUGAGCCUUAAUUUGCCUUACUUGCUCUUGCACAGCAGCAGCCUCUUCAUCCUCAAGUGAUGCCCCAGGAUCCUCUUCUCUUGCAAAGCCAAUUUCCUCAUCCUCUUCUUUUUUGGCAUGCUCUUGUUCUGCAUAACCAUAAUUUGAAAGUGAUGAGGGAGAAGAAGCUGCAGAUCUGACAGCAUUGACAUUAUUCUCAUCCCUAGAACUUUUGACAGUUGAAGAAUCACUGCUUUUCUGCCUCCAUGCAGCAAGCAUAUCAUCUGUCCCGGUUGAAGCAUUCAUGCGGUCAUCAGUUUCAGCACCAAUAAUCGUUUUACUGUCGUUUGACCAUAAAGAUUUACCAGGUCCUCCCUGCCCUAAUUGCCCAUCCCUCAAUGGUGGGAGAAAUGAAAAUCCCCCAUCUCUAUGAUCUUUCACUUGGGAAGAUGCAACUUUGUCAUUCCCAGCCACAUAUGUAUUGGAAUCUUGUUUACUGAUUCUCUUUUUAUCCUUGUUAUGUCUAUCUACAUAUUUCUUGUCUGAUUCAUGAUGAGAGGGUCUCGAUCCACCAAUUCCAACAUCAUGCUCAUGAAAGUACUCUAUAUCCCCUUCACUACUGCCUCCAACCAAACUUUCCCGUACUUCACUGCCAAAAUCAGCCGCAUCACUGUUGAUACCCACACCAAUUGAUCUAACUGAACCAUGUUGAUCAUCAUCCACACAAGUAUCAUCUAGCCGUGGUCUUCCACAGUCAUUCAGGGCUUUCCCAUCCCCAAGCAUGAUAAGCUCAUUCGUCUGAGUGACAAAUCCCUGCCAGACAGGUUCUGCACGCAUUAAAUUUAGCUCUUCUUCAUCCAUUAACUGUCCAUCAUAUUGAGCUAUCAAAUCAUUCUCAUGAGUCCUAUACAUUUCAGUUGACAACCCUAUAGGAUCAUCUGAAGCUGUAAUUGGUUCAACAGUUUUUGAUUGAAAAUACUGCUCACCAGAAAAGUAAGAAUCCUCCUCAGCAAAAGAUUGAUCAUCAUCUUCAUCUUUGUUCGGACCUCUUUCCUGCGGGUCUGGGACACUCCCAUGUCCUGCUCCCUUUUCAUUGUCACUUGGGUAAUCAAUUUCAUGGGCCAGAAACCAGGCCUCAUCCUCAAUUGGCUGUCUCAUGUAUCCAACAUCAUCAUCAUCAUCAUAUUCAUCAGAAUCCCAAUAUUCAUUUGGAUAGUCAAUUGAUUCACUUAGUCCAUCACCAACAGUUGCAAAACCAGAAACUAAAUCUGAUGUAUCCUCAGCAAUUCCUUGACUCACAGAGAGCCAGCUGCCUCCAGCAAUCCUUUUUCCUCCUGAAGAGUUGAUUUCUUGUCCAACAGGAACAUCGAGAUAUGACCCAAUAAGGAAAGUAUUAUCAGUACUGCUGUGCUUCACAACUGGCCCAUCACGCUCAAACUGUUCCUGCCAAUUAAUGUUCAAUGGUUUGUCUUCUGACUUGAGUUUAACAGGUGGAAGCCUUGGGAAUUCUUCCUUUGGAUUAUCAGAUGCAAGAGAAAAACUUAAGCCACUUAAAUUCUUUUGCUCUGUACUCCCCUGAGACUUCCCAAAGUAUAAAGCUCUUCCAACCUCAUCCACCUGCUCUUUGAUUGCCACCCUAACAUCACCUAUGUCUGUUUUCUUCUUUUCUUCUCUUUUGUCCAAACUAGCAUUGACAUCAUAACUGGUUGAUACAUUCCCCUUGGGAAAAGGAAAAACAGUCUUGACAGGACAAUCUUUCCAUGUUGUUGCAGUGCUAGUGUCCUCACUUCUACACCACGUGUUUUCUACAGAGUAUGCAACAGGAGUCUUAAGUUGCUGAUCAGGUUCCUUUGAUUCACUAGUCAGAAUUCUUUCAUACUUGGAUUCUGCUUUAGCAUUAAUAGUACUUGUGCUUCCAGGCCACAAACCCCUCUUUUCACCAGAGAAGACAACCUCUUCUCCAGAUUUUGCAAUUGCUCUACUAGAGCAGUUAUCAGUGGGACCACCAUCAUUUUGGUAAGGUUCAGAAGAAUGACCAAUGCGAGCAUUAAGGUUCCACGAAUAUAAAUCAAGGACACUAUCCUCAGAAUCAAUUGUGCCAAUUGCUUCAUUAGGCUUACCACUCCACUCUCCAACCAAAGCAGAUUUUCUCCAUUUGCUUUCAGAACCAUUUCCACUUGUUCCACACUCUAUUUCUUUAAUAAUAAGUUCAUUAGAAACUUCAAAGCUAUUUUGAGAACCAAGCACCUGAUUAUCAGUUACAUGUUUGCUCCCAUUCUCCUCAUCCAACACCUUUCCCAAUUCCUUGUCUUCAAGGGUAAGUUUUUUAAGAAAUCCAUUCAAAUCAGGGCGCUUACUAAGCUCACUGCAUAAUGCUGCCUCAGCUCUGGUGAAGCCAUUUCUUCGCAGAAAGUCCAGAAUCACAUCUACUGAACUUGUGUCUGCCAUAAUCAACUGCUACAGAUCUACUAGCAAAUGCUAGGAAGAAUAAUUAACCAAGCAGAUCGAAAAUGGAGCAAAACUGAAGAGAUUCUGAGUGUGGGAAGGAAGAAGAAGAAGAGAGUUUCGUAAGAGUGUAGAUUCCAUAGCCAUAUCAAAAGGAAAUCAUCAGUAACAUAAAGUAUAAUACCAACAAAAUACUUCGAAUUUGCAUUUCGGUUUCCCUUCUUUUCUAUUUUUUAAAUCAAUUUCGGCCUGCAGUUUCUCUCAUGCCCGGCAUGGCACACGGGAGCUAAGAGCUUUGUAAUAAU
rnacentral:misc_RNA from 1 species